rnacentral:lncRNA from 1 species
CUCACUCUGACCCUUUGGCUGACCCUUAUACAGAUUCACAGUAGACCCUGGUUUCACUUUUCAUGCUUUUAGUCAUCUAUAGACAACCACCAUCUGAAAAUAGGAAAAAAAAUUAUGUAUAGGAUUUGGAACUAUCUGAGGUUUCAGGCAUCCACUGGGGGUCUUGGAAUGUAUCCCCUAUGGUUAAGGGAGAAUGACUACAAACCAACGAACUGCUACUUAGCAAGAGGAAGGCAUCAGGGCAGUAGCUCCUCUGGGAAUAGUAAAGCACUUCUUUCUCCUGCUGCCCUGUGAAGGACGUGUUUGCAUCCCCUUCCACCAUAAUUGUGAGUUUCCUGAGGCCUUCCCAGCCAUGUGGAACUGCCAGCUGCCCUUUCCCUUCAGCCAUGAGUGGCAGCAGCCUGAGGCCCUCACCAGAUGCCUAAUCUUGAAGACUCCAGCCAGCAGAACU